rnacentral:rRNA from 1 species
UGGGGAAUCUUGCACAAUGGGCGAAAGCCUGAUGCAGCGACGCCGCGUGGAGGAUGAAGGUCUUCGGAUUGUAAACUCCUGUUAAGUGGGAAGAAAGACACUAACCUAAUACGUUAGUGGGAUGACGGUACCACUAGAGAAAGCACCGGCAAACUUCGUGCCAGCAGCCGCGGUAAUACGAAGGGUGCUAGCGUUAUUCGGAAUCACUGGGCGUAAAGAGCGUGUAGGCGGCUUGUUAAGUCAACUGUUAAAGCACCCAGCUUAACUGGGUAAAGGCAGGUGAAACUGGCGAGCUGGAGUACGGAAGAGAGAAGUGGAAUUGUCGGAGUAGCGGUAAAAUGCGUAGAUCUCGACAGGAACACCGGUUGCGAAGGCGGCUUCUUGGUCCGCUACUGACGCUAAAGCGCGAAAGCGUGGGGAGCAAACAGG